rnacentral:tRNA from 1 species
GUUAUUCUAGUAUAAAGAGUACAUUUGACUUCCAAUCAAAAAGCUUGACUUAUAAUCAAGAAUAACA